CCAAAAUCUCGCUACUGGGAUUGGGGGACGUAACUCUAAGGGGGGUUAGAGGCAGUGAAGCAAUGCGAUGAGGUCUACGUCGAAACCUAAUAUCUCUGUUCUCUCUUUCGGCAUCUUUUCGGACGCUCUUUCUACCCCGGAAAAACUGUAUGGAAGGCCAGUGAUUCUUGCAGAUAGGGAAAUGGUGGAGGAAAAAGCCGAUGAAUUACUUUCAGUUGCUCCUGUUUCGAUGUGGCUUUCCUUGUAGUUGGCGACCCUUUUGGAAUGCUUCGGUGAUGAAUGCAUUGGAGUUUGUGGCUUGCAGCUCUACCGUUAUGGCAAGACAGUUUCGAAUCUUUGAUACCAUUCUUUGCUGAAACCUGGAGACCAGACAGCUUCUUCUAUGAGAAUCUUGGUCUACAUACCCUUUGCUUAUUAGGUGAGAUAUUCGUUUGAAGGAACCUUCUCGGAAUCUUUAUGCAGGUAUAUUUUCAAGUGAUUAUCCAUUUCUUUCUUCUUCUUCUUAUUCUUUCUUUUAUUAUCAUUAUUAAUUGCAAGACUAAAUAUUCCUUCUGUCUGUCUGUAUUGGAUUUGGAUUGGUUGCUCCUUUAAUUUUAGAGGAAAGUAGCAGUAGGAAUUGCAUGACUAACUAUUCCUUGUGUCUGAAUCUUUAUACAAGUUAUAUAUCUGUUUCAUAUAACGCAUCA